CAGGCUAACGGGAAGCUCCUGGAUUCACUCUUAUUAAAAGCACAAGGACCAUUUUGUUCAUUUUCUCUAUAUUUUAUGGUCUUCAACCUUAGAGGUGCAGUUGAAUUAAAAAAAAAAAAUACAGAGAGAGGGAGACUAGCAUAACAAUGAGUUUUCCAACGAAGAAAGCUCAACAGCUGAAAAAGCAAUUUCACAGUACAAGAAAGGGGGAUGAUGAAACCAAUGAGUCCUAUGUGAAAAGAUUGAAAUCCAUAGCAAAUUCUGUAGCAGCAAUCGACAGUCCAACGUCAAAUUCGGACAUGGUGUUGCAACUUGUUGCUGCUUUGCCUAGUGAAUACGAGGCCGUCAAGAAAAUAUUAUCAUCAAAGUGGCCUCUCCCCACUUUUGAAGAGGCUUGUUCCAUGGUGUACGUGCAGGAGGGCAUAUUAAUGCAGGUGAAAAUAAGUUUUCCAACAGAGGAAGAUGAUAAUUCUAACAAAAACGAAAAAAAUUCCAAUUCAGGAUGAUCAGAUCAAGCGAGUUCAACUAAGAAUGCAAUUUCACAGUACAAGAAAGGGGGAUGAUGAGACCAUUGAGUCCUAUGUGAAAAGAUUGAAGUCCAUAGCAGAUUCUCUAGCAGCAAUCGAUAGUCCAAUAUCAGAUUCGGACAUGGUGUUGCAACUUCUUGCUGGUUUGCCUAGUGAAUACGAGAUCCUCAAGAAUAUAAUAUAAUCAAGGUGGCCUCUCCCCACUUUUGAAGAUGCUUGUUCCAUGGUGUCCAUGCAGGAACGCAAAUUUUUGCAGGUCAUGGGUUUGAGCCGUGAAAACAACUUCUUACAGAAAUGCAGGUAAUGCUACGUACAAAAGAUCCUUGUGAUCAGGCUUUUUUUCAAAUCCCGCACAUAGCAGAAGCUUCGUGCACCGAUUAGGGAUAAGGCGGUGUGUGUACGCACUUCCUUUCACUUACUCCACUACUUAUGUUGUUGUUGUUAUUUGUUUCUUAAUUAACUUUUUAAGCAUUUAAUAAAAAUAAAUUCAAUAUUAUUCUAACAUAUUAAAUAAAAAUAUUGUUUUAUUUAAACAUAUUUUAACAAGAGUUUUUUCAUAGAUCAAUUUGAGCUAGGUAUCUAUCCAUUUUUAUAUAUUUUGAUUGAGCAUUUCAAUAUGAUCAAUCUAAACUUAAGCCAAGUGUGGUGGAUCAUAUUUUAAAGUGCUAAUUUUUUCACCCUUAAUUGCAGGAUCAUCACGAGGGGCAAAAUACAACUGAUCCUCGCGUUGGUGGUGAAGAGGAGUCGUCUUCUUUUUUUACCCUAGAGACGGGGGUUACUAUAGCGGGUAUAGUGGGUCCUUUACUGGGUGCAUUUGGUUUUGGGGGUGCAUCGAGGAUGAUUGCAAUUGGUUCAAUGGGUGCAGCCUGGCUGGAAAAUUUGGCAGACGCCAAAAAAAAGUGAUUAUUAAUGAUAUGAAUAGAGCUCUAGUCUUAUUGUCAACAACCCUUGUUUCCUUUUUGUGUUUGUUGUUUAAGUAAAUGGAUCUAACUAAUCUUCAUCUUCAAAAAGCUUGAAUUGUUACUACUAUUUAAAGUUUGACUUUGAGAUGUAUGACAUGCAACAUGAUGUGAAGUUGAAGUUGUAUUAUCAUAUUUUCGUUUUCCUUUA